rnacentral:rRNA from 1 species
CUCCAGACUCCUACGGGAGGCAGCAGUGAGGGAUAUUGGGCAAUGGGGGAAACCCUGACCCAGCGACGCCGCGUGAGGGAAGACGGUCUUCGGAUUGUAAACCUCUGUCUUUGGGGACGAAAAAGGACGGUACCCAAGGAGGAAGCUCCGGCUAACUACGUGCCAGCAGCCGCGGUCAUACGUAGGAUCCGAGCAUUAUCCGGAGUGACUGGGUGUAAAGAGUUGCGUAGGUGGCAUAAUAAGAAGCUAGUGAAAUCUGGUGGCUCAACCAUUCAGACUAUUAGCUAAACUGUUAAGCCCGAGACCGUUAGGGGUAACUGGAAUUUCUAGUGUAGGAGUGAAAUCCGUAGAUAUUAGAAGGAACACCAAUAGCGUAGGCAGGUUGCUGGGACGGUUCUGACACUAAGGCACGAAAGCGUAGGGAGCAAACGGGAUUAGAUACCCCGGUAAAU